CUUUUUCGGAGAGUUUGAUCCUGGCUCAGGACGAACGCUGGCGGCGUGCCUAAUACAUGCAAGUCGAGCGGACAGAAGGGAGCUUGCUCCCGGAUGUUAGCGGCGGACGGGUGAGUAACACGUGGGUAACCUGCCUGUAAGACUGGGAUAACUCCGGGAAACCGGAGCUAAUACCGGAUAGUUCCUUGAACCGCAUGGUUCAAGGAUGAAAGACGGUUUCGGCUGUCACUUACAGAUGGACCCGCGGCGCAUUAGCUAGUUGGUGAGGUAACGGCUCACCAAGGCGACGAUGCGUAGCCGAC
rnacentral:rRNA from 1 species